rnacentral:lncRNA from 1 species
GGGCUCGUCGGCGACCUUUGCAACUUCAUCAUUGACGAGAUUGUUAAUUCUAGAGGCACUUAUCAUGAUGUAAGCUCUGACUUAGGCUCCAAUCCACUUCACCAACACCUGCGUGAGACACACAAGCUUUAUCUUGGACGUUGAUAACAAUCUAGACUAAGAUGCAUGUGGACUUGUGGGAAUAUUUGAACUUGUGAAUUAUGGUUAUGUAAUAGACUUUUCAAUGAAUUAGACAUGUAAUUUGUGGUUUAUAUCGUUCUCGUGUGGUCAUAUUUGAAUUAUAUAUUACAUUCUCUGGUCAGAUUUGAAUCUUUUUUUUGCUGAAAACAGACUGUAGGGGCGGUUGUAGAUUGAACCGCCCCUACAAAUAGUCACUUUAGGGGCGGCUGGUGACAUAGCCGUCCUUACAAAUGGUAUUUCUAAGGGCGACUGACAACACCAGCCGCCCUAACAAAUAUAUUUGUAAGGGCAGUUGGGGCACCCGCCCUUACAAAUGCUUUAUUUAUAAGUGCAAGACCGGAGGGGCGGGCCAGCCGCCAUUACAGAAAGUUCCCAGCCGUCCCUAAAAAUGAAUUUUGUAGUAGUUCUCGAUGCCGACCCAGACCAUGGGAGACGGAUUUGGUACCAGGUAAUCAUCUUCUUUUCUUUUUCUUUUUUUAUGUAACUGUUGCUAGCUGUUUUUAGUUUCUUUAUUAUCAUUGUUGUUUCUUUACGUGUGGUUGAUCACCAUUUGCAUGAAAUGGGGAUUAUGUUUUUGUUUCCCACUCCCACGUACAUGUACUAGUCCUCUAAUUAUUGAUUUUGUUUGGUCAAUUGCACUAGUUUCUUUCGGUAUCCGUAUGAACACAAGUAGGGCGGGGGUGCCUUCUGCCUGCAGAUCAUGAGACCAAACGCAUAUUUCAACGGUGUACCA